rfam:Parcubacteria group bacterium RIFCSPHIGHO2_01_FTLL_47_10b rifcsphigho2_01_scaffold_3161, whole genome shotgun sequence.
GUUCCUGUAGUAGCGGGUAUACAGAGGAUCCCUUGAGACCAAACAGCGAUGAAGGACGUGGCGUGACUGCGAUAAGCGUCGGCGAGGCGUCGAGCGGCCUGCGACCCGGCGAUGUCCGAAUGAGGAAACUCACUGGAAGUCAUGUUCCAGUAUCACGUGUAUGGGAAACUGUGCGCGUGGAGCAUACCUGGGGAAGUGAAACAUCUCAUUACCCAGAGGAAAAGAAAGCAAUAAUCCAUCCUUCGGGAUGGUGUGCGUAUUCCCUGAGUAGCGGCGAGCGAAACGGGAGAAGUCUAAACCAGUCGAUUUAUUUCGACUGGGGUUGAGGCGCAAAAAACGUAAUCGCACUUCUGUCGUGUCGAGUGAUUGAUUCGUCAAUCGCGAGGCGACGGAUAGUCUGAUUACGGAUCAAGAGGGUCGAAAAAGUAUUUUCGGUAGCCGAAGGACCCCUGGAACGGGCGUGCCAAAGAGGGUAAUAGCCCCGUAGGCGAAACUGAAAAUCUACCUUCGAUUGUGUUCUAGAGUAGGGCCGUGCCAGCUGCACGGUUUGAAGGCGGGAGUACUGUCUCCUAAGACUAAAUAUGUUUGGCCAUCGAUAGCGAACAAGUACCGUGAGGGAAAGGUGAAAAGAACCCCGGAAGGGGAGUGAAAUAGACUGUGAAACUGUAUACCUACAACAAGUCGGAGCCCAAGAUUCGUUCUGGGUGACGGCGUGCCUUUUGCAAAAUGAGCCAACGACUUUUAGGGCAUUCCAAGUCUAAGCCGUGACAAAACGGCGGAGGCGUAGGGAAACCGAGUAUGAAUAGUGCGUCUAGGAAUGUUUUAAAGACCCGAAGCCAGGCGAUCCAUCCAUGAGCAGGGUGAGUGCUGGGUAACACCAGCAGGAGGCCCGAACCAGUUGAUCGUGCAAUAUCAUUGGAUGACUUGUGGAUAGUGGUGAAAAGUCAAUCGCGCCUGGGAAUAGCUGGUUCUCUCCGAAACAGCUUUGCGGCUGGCGUUGUGUGAAUCACUCCGGAGGUAGAGCACUGACUAACGGAAGGUGGCCAAUGGCCUACUUUUGUUUAUCAAACUCCGAAUACCGGAAGUGUAUGCACAGCAGUUAGACUACGGGGGCUAAGCUCCGUGGUCGUGAGGUUAAUAGGCCAGACCAUCGCUUAAGGUCCCAAAAUCUAUACUAAGUGGGAAAGGAGGUGGAAUUUCUCCGACAUCUGGGAGGUUGGCUUAGAAGCAGCCAUCCUUUAAAGAGUGCGUAAUAGCUCACCAGCCAAGAGAUUUUGCGCCGAAAAUGUAACGGGGCUAAGUAUAGUACCGAAGGCAUGGGUGCGUGUUGUGCUUCGGCAUAACAUGCGCGGUAGGAGAGCGUUCGCAUUGCGCUGAAGCCGGACCCGCGAGGGCCGGUCGAGCGAUGUGAAGUGAGAAUGUUGGUACGAGUAACCACAAGGGAAGUAAAAUCCUUCCCCGCCGAAAGUCCAAGGUUUCCAUGGCAAUGGCGAUCAUCCAUGGGUUAGUCGGUCCUAAGGUGAACCCGAACGGGGUAGCUGAUGGACAGCAGGUUAAUAUUCCUGCACCACUUGUGUAUGCGAAGGAGCGACGCAUGUUAGUAGUGUGUGCCUCUUAUCGGAUUGAGGUCCGGUGUAUAGGGAGGAAGCGUUGGAAAAUCCGCGCUUCUGUGCUUCGAGCACGACUCCGAGUGCAUCGGGGACGUUCCUGCUUGCAGGAGCAAACGCACAUGAGCAAUGGGCCUAGAAAAACUUCUAAGCAUAAUACACAGGUGACCGUACCGCAAAACCGAAACAGGUGGACAGGUCGAGUAGACCAAGGCGAACGAGUGAAAGCUGGAUAAGGAACUCGGCAAAAAAGCGGCCGUAACUUUGGGAUAAGGCCUGCCUGGUGCGUGCUUGCACGUGCUGGGCCGCAGCUAAAGAUUUCAAGCGACUGUUUAUCAAAAACACAGGUCCCUGCUAACUCGUAAGAGGAUGUAUAGGGGCUGACGCCUGACCAGUGCCGAAAGGUUAAGAAACGCCGGUGCAUUGUGAUUUAUCAUGGUGUGCUGGAGUUCGAAGCCCCGGUAAACGUCAGCGAUAACUAUAAACAACAUUGUAGUUACAAAACUUGGCUAUAUGCUGGGAUCUCCCACGUAUCCUGUAUUGGCAACGAUACCGGUGGGGACAAUCAGCAGGGAAGUCACGGUUUCGUGAAGGCGCGCAUAGUGUGCGUUGCACGUGUUGUGACCCCUCAGAGACUAUACGCCGAGCCCUUCUGUAAUAAUUGCGAUAACCGUCGUUAUGCAAGGGAUGAUAUAGUCCGACCCUUAUGGCGACAUAAGGAGACUGACAGAAAUGUCCAGUCCGUGCGAGCAUGCCUGACAGCGCAAUUUUUGGCGCAGAAGGUAUGUUGCAUAGUAACAAACGUGAAUCGUUCUAAGGUAAAAAGUGCCCAGGAAUGCACUGCUGCCUUAGUAAAAUCUGGCUAUAUGCUGGAAACUCCGGAGAAUCUGGUGUUACGCAACGUGUUUGGAAAGUGUAUGGAACUAUGGUAGAAUGAUACAAUAUGACCAAACCAUUACGUGAAAAAACAACCAGUGUGUACGCUUUAGGGCGUGCGCCGGACAAUCAGCAGGAAAGAUUUCGAUCUCCGCUGAAUUUGCGAUGGCUUGAUAAUAUUCCAUCAUCAAUCGGAUAUUAUUUAGCUGGAUUUGCAGAUGGCGAAGGAAGUUUUACCGCUUCAUUGAGAAAGAAACGUGAUUACAAAAAUGAAUGGCAGAUAUCUCUGGCAUUCAAUGUUGCUCAACGCGAUGUAAGUACGCUUAAAUUAUUUAAGCAGCACUUGAAGUGCGGGCGACUACAAUGUCGAAGUGAUGGUGUCCACUACUUUGUAGUGGGGGAUUAUCCCUCGCUACAGAACCACGUAGUCCCAUUUUUCGACAGAUAUCAAAUUCUUUCAGAAAAUAAGCGUAAGAACUUUCUAAUCUUCAAAAAGAUUACUUCCCUUGUCUACCAAAAGAAACAUUUAACUCACAACGGGAUGAAGACAGUUUUAGAAUUACGAGAGGAGUUAAAUAAAGGUAAGGGUAGAAAAAGAAAGUAUUUUAUCGGAGACGUGAUCGAAGAAUCCUCAACGACCACACGCCGGACUCGUUCUAUCGAACGAGAAGAUAUGGUCUGAGCUCUAUGGUGACAUAGAGAGUAAGACGGAAACGAAUCUUACCACUUCAAACAUUGAAGUAGUAACAAAUCUAAGCGAAAUUCCUAGAAACCGACUGGGACCCUCAAUGGGUAACCAUGAGCGGAAAACUUGGCUAUAUGCUGGGAACUCCCGUGUAUCUACUACUGGAAACGGUAGUAGUGGGGACAAUCAGCAGGGAAGUUCUGUCUUCUAUCUAAAGAAUCAGAACCCCUCAACGACUACACGCCAGGAUCCUUAUAUAAUAAGGAAUGUGAUAUAGUCUGAACUGCAUGGCGACAUGCAGAGUCUGGCUCGCGCUAGGCCGCCUCAUUAUAUGAGGUCAGUUCAGCGAGUUGCUGAACGAAAGUAACAGUUUGUGUCGGGUAAGCCUGUCGGGGCAAGCCCGUAGGUGGCUUAUAACGGUGAAGCCGUCAGUUAUUAUGAUGUUUGGAAAAUGUAUGGUAUAAUGACUCGGUAAUACCGUGGGAAGUCGUGUUACGCACAGUAACAUUGACCCCGUAACGACUUAACGUAAUCGUUAGGUAGCGAACAGAAAUGGCAGUGAGUAUAUCGCUACAAUACGCCGCCCAGUAUGUGCAAUAGUGAUAAACGCACAACAACACAUACUGAAGAUAUAGUCUGUGCCGCUGGAAACAGCGGAGUAGAGACCACGAAGUUCCGACGCGCAUGAAAGGCGUAACGACUUGAAAACUGUCUCAUCCAGCUGCUCGGUGAAAAUCCAAUUGUCAGUGAAGAUGCUGACUACUCGCAGUUAGACGGAAAGACCCCAGGAGCUUCACUGUAAGCUGCUAUUGGGCCUCAUGUUUGCAUGCGUAGCAUAGUGGGGAGACUUUGAAGGUUCCAUUCUGGUGGAACUGGAGUCGCCAAUGAAAUACCCAUCUUGUGAUUGUGUUGUCCUAACCUCGUUCGUGUGAAAAGCACAACAGGAACAGUGGCAGCCUGGCAGUUUGAGUGGGGCGCUCUUCUCCUAAAGAGUAACGGAGAAGUCUCAAGGUCGGCUAGCUACGGAUGGAAAUCGUAGCGAUAGUGCAAAGGCAUAAGCCGGCUUUACUGCAAGACCUACAAGUCGCGCAGUUGCGAAANNNNNNNNNNNNNNNNNNNNNNNNNNCUUAGUGAACCGAAGGUGCUCAAUAGAAUGGGCCCAAGACACCAAAUAAAAGUUACCCUGGGGAUAACAAAUGUUGUCCCGUUCCGAUAGUAAUAUCGGGACAAGUAUUC